UACGGGGGGAGCAAGCGUUGUUCGGAUUUACUGGGCGUAAAGGGCGCGUAGGCGGCCUCUGCAAGUCGACUGUGAAAUCUCCGGGCUUAACCCGGAAAGGUCAGCCGAUACUGCAGGGCUAGAGUGCAGAAGGGGCAACUGGAAUUCUCGGUGUAGCGGUGAAAUGCGUAGAUAUGCGGAGGAACACCGAUGGCGAAGGCAAUCCCCUGGGCCUGCACUGACGCUCAUGCACGAAAGCGUGGGGAGCAAACAGG
rnacentral:rRNA from 1 species